GUGAGGCGGUGCGUCCCUCCGCGCCUCCGUGGCGGUGAGGCGAUUGGUCCCUCCGCGCUGCCGCGGGCCUGGCGCUGACAGGAUUUACUUACCGCAAGGGCCGAAAUCCGUGUGCCCUGGGCCGAGUGUUUUAGCCACGUGUUGCUGAAGGAGAGUGGCACCAAUGGGUUAUCAAUCUGACCCACAGAUGAAAGAGCAAGCAAGCUGACGAAGCCUUUGGUUGGAAAUAAAUGUUGAGUGAGAGCUGGUCCUCAAGAAAUGAGGGGCGAGCUGCAUCGUUCCAACAAGUUCAAGAGAUACUUCGCUG